rnacentral:rRNA from 1 species
AGAUUUAUUGCAUAGGGAUGGGCUCGCGUCCGAUUAGAUAGUUGGUGGGGUAACGGCCUACCAAGUCGACGAUCGGUAGCCGGACUGAGAGGUUGAACGGCCACAUUGGAACUGAGAAACGGUCCAGACUCCUACGGGAGGCAGCAGUGGGGAAUAUUGGGCAAUGGGCGAAAGCCUGACCCAGCGACGCCGCGUGAAGGAAGACGGUCUUCGGAUUGUAAACUUCUUUUAUAAGGGACGAAGCAUGACGGUACCUUAUGAAUAAGCCACGGCUAACUACGUGCCAGCAGCCGCGGUAAUACGUAGGUGGCGAGCGUUAUCCGGAUUUACUGGGUGUAAAGGGUGUGUAGGCGGGAUUGCAAGUCAGAUGUGAAAAUUAUGGGCUCAACUCAUAACCUGCAUUUGAAACUGUGAUUCUUGAGGGUCGGAGAGGUAACUGGAAUUCCUGGUGUAGCGGUGAAAUGCGUAGAUAUCAGGAGGAACACCGGUGGCGAAGGCGGGUUACUGGACGAUUACUGACGCUGAGACACGAAAGCGUGGGGAGCAAACAGGAUUAGAUACCCUGGUAGUCCACGCUGUAAACGAUGAAUGCUAGGUGUGGGGGUGCAAACCUCCGUGCCGCAGUUAACACAAUAAGCAUUCCACCUGGGGAGUACGGCCGCAAGGUUGAAACUCAAAGGAAUUGACGGGAGCCCGCACAAGCAGUGGAGUAUGUGGUUUAAUUCGACGCAACGCGAAGAACCUUACCAGGAUUUGACAUCCCAGGAACCCGGCGUAAUGGCUGGGGUGCCCUUCGGGGAAUCUGGAGACAGGUGGUGCAUGGUUGUCGUCAGCUCGUGUCGUGAGAUGUUGGGUUAAGUCCCGCAACGAGCGCAACCCUUACGUUUAGUUGCUACGCAAGAGCACUCUAGACGGACUGCCGUUGACAAAACGGAGGAAGGCGGGGAUGACGUCAAAUCAUCAUGCCCCUUACAUUCUGGGCUACACACGUACUACAAUGGCGAAAACAAAGGGAAGCAAUGCCGCGAGGCGGAGCAAACCCCAUAAUAGUCGUCCCAGUUCGGACUCCAGG